UCGAGAAUUUUUCACAAUGGACGAAAGUCUGAUGGAGCGACGCCGCGUGGAGGAUGAAGGUUUUCGGAUUGUAAACUCCUGUCACUGCAAAACAAGGGUGCAUCUAUUAAUAGUAGUUGCAUUUGAUGGUAUGCGGAGAGGAAGGGACGGCUAACUCUGUGCCAGCAGCCGCGGUAAGACAGAGGUCCCGAGCGUUGUUCGGAUUCAUUGGGCGUAAAGGGUGUGUAGGAGGCUGGGUAAGUCAGGUGUGAAAUCUCACAGCUUAACUGUGAAACUGCGCUUGAUACUGCUCAGCUAGAGGAUCGGAGGGGGUAACGGAAUUUAUGGUGUAGCUGUGAAAUGCGUAGAUAUCAUAAGGAACACCGGUGGCGAAGGCGGUUACCUGGAAGAUUCCUGACUCUGAAACACGAAAGCCAGGGGAGCAAACG
rnacentral:rRNA from 1 species